GAUGAACGCUGGCGGCGUGCCUAAUACAUGCAAGACGAGCGAACAGAUGAGGAGCUUGCUCCUCUGACGUUAGCGGCGGACGGGUGAGUAACACGUGGAUAACCUACCUAUAAGACUGGGAUAACUUCGGGAAACCGGAGCUAAUACCGGAUAAUAUAUUGAACCGCAUGGUUCAAUAGUGAAAGACGGUUUUGCUGUCACUUAUAGAUGGAUCCGCGCCGCAUUAGCUAGUUGGUAAGGUAACGGCUUACCAAGGCAACGAUGCGUAGCCGACCUGAGAGGGUGAUCGGCCACACUGGAACUGAGACACGGUCCAGACUCCUACGGGAGGCAGCAGUAGGGAAUCUUCCGCAAUGGGCGAAAGCCUGACGGAGCAACGCCGCGUGAGUGAUGAAGGUCUUCGGAUCGUAAAACUCUGUUAUUAGGGAAGAACAAAUGUGUAAGUAACUAUGCACGUCUUGACGGUACCUAAUCAGAAAGCCACGGCUAACUACGUG
rnacentral:rRNA from 1 species